CCAGGUGUUCUUUACUUUAUGAAUGAAGCCGGAGCAGCCCACCUUCCUGCAUCUCUACCACCAUGGCACCAUGCCCUGUGAUGGGUGGGCUGGAGUCAAAUACGUAGCAGGCAGCCAGGGUCAGUUUGUGGCCACUGCUGCCCCCUCUUCCUACAGUCUCCUCACUGAGUGCCCCUUCCCUGUUGGGUUCAACACAUCUGUGCUCCUGUAAGCCCUCAGCCUCCUGGUUCUCUUCCUCAACUUCUACCACCAGACACAUCUGAGAAGCAAGCAAGAGAGGCUGAACUAGGAGCAGGACCCAGGGACUGAAACCAUCACAGCAUCCCCACAGAGAAUUGGGUGGAAGGCAGCGUGGCUUCCAGCUUACUGGUGCUGAGCAGAUUUCUCUGGGUCUCCACUGUAUCCUCUGAAGGAAGGAGGAGGAUUGCCUUCUGUCCAGAUCUCAGGAUCAAACAAAUAGGUCCAACUUCCUGUGCUCACUUCAGUUAGAGCACUUCUCAUGUGACUUUGUAGCUUUGUGUGCAUCUCCUUCCUCUACUAGACCUAAGCCCCUCACGGGAGGGACUCUCUUAUUCUUGAUGUUCCCCACACCUGGAAUUUCAAUAAACAUCUCAAUAAACGUGUGUGUUUGGAUCCUUG
rnacentral:lncRNA from 1 species